UCGUGUGUAGAGUCGGUGGGGCGGGCUUAACAUGGCUGCUGCUGGAGAACAGCGGCCUUUGGAAUCGGCUUUGGCCGAGACUGUGGAAGACUUGGAGUUAAGCUCUGAAGUCAUUCUUAAAAA